UAUGAGAUCCUAAAACAUGUCUCUUCGUUCAUAUCUCAACGUUCCCGAAAGAUCGUAAAUAAUUUUUACGAAAACUCACCUCUCGAACGAACUAACAGAUUGAACGCCUCAACGAAGAUAAAUAUGAGGCGACAACUCAUGUUCACUUCAAACCCGCUCUAAACAAAGUAAACCCAAACAAACAUACAUUAUAUAAACCGCAUAGCGGUAAGAGUUCAAGGCCACGCUCGGCCAGACAUAUAUGAACAAAGGCCACACUCGGCCGCUAAAUGCUAGAUAAAAGGAAAAACUCCUUCCCGCCAAAACACUCACAGGUCAAAGUUAAAACUCCCGGACAAGGAAGCCCCGAAUGCAUCCGCGGGAAAGUUCACUUCCUCAUCAUCACCAGCAAAAUCAGCCGUAGUCUCUACGGUAUCAGGGGAAACCGGGAUGGGAUC
rnacentral:lncRNA from 1 species